rnacentral:lncRNA from 1 species
GAAAGAAAUGGAAAUCAUGAGUCAGUUAUAUAUUCAGGGCUAAGAAUGUGGGCUCUGGAAUCAUACUCCAGAGGUUCAGUUGAGCAAGUGAAUUUUUUUUAAUGCUUUUUAACACAUGCUACCAGAGAAAGAGAAAGAGGCAAGACAGGAAGGGAGAGGGAAGGAGAGAGAGAAGAAGGGAUUAGGAAGGAAAGGAGGGAGAGAAGUAGGCAAUGACAGAAAAAAGGAAAGGGUGAGAAUGAGUCUCAACAUCAAGGUCCGUGGUUUUCAAAGUUCCCAGUAACAGAGAAGAGGAUUCAACCAGCCUGCUUUGCUCUCAGACUUUUUCUCGUUCCCAGUUUUAAAUUGUCCUGUAUUUUCCAAUGACUUCGGCCUGCACAUUCUCUAAUAUCCUAUCCUUUAGGACAGUCUUACAGCCUUUCAGUUGUGGAGCUCCUGUUGAAACUCUCCUUCUUUUUACAGGCACAUUACACAGAUGCAGCCUGACCUGCCUGCACAUUACGACCUGGCUCUCUUGUCACUGGGAAGACGGGGAAGAGGUCAGAGACGGUACAAAGAAUAUUUUUUUAAAUGUGUUGCUUUUCUAAUCUGUACUAAGCCAUUAUGAUGUUAAGAGACAUAUAAGCUGCUCCAUUUAGAGUCAGCAUUAAUCACUGUGUAAGAAAUCACUCUGCAUUGGAAAAACCUGUAAAGUUUCCCCUAAAGUAGAAAUACGUCCUUCUCCCACAUGCAAUCAAUAUGAUUAUGGUGCAAUUACGCUUCUGAAGAUUCAUCUCAGAGGUGGAAACAAAACCCACUUCACAUCACAUCAUAACGGUGACCAACACAGGAUAAUAAAAGUUUAUUUGACAAAAUUCA